rnacentral:rRNA from 1 species
GCUUUUAGGAUAAUUAAUUUUAGGUGUAACCUGCACAAUGAUUUAAUCUAAAUAGCUGCAGUAAUUUGGCUGUACAAAGGUAGCAGAAUAGCUUGUCUUUUAAUUGGAGACUGGAAUGAAAGGUUGAACAUAAAAGAUACUGACUCUAACUUUAUUUUUGAAAUUUGAAUUUAUGUAAAAAGACAUAAAUAUUAUAAAGGGACGAGAAGACCCUAGCAACGUGUAAUACAAUUAUUUUAAUAUAAUAUUUAUAAUAAUUUAUUUGUUUGGGGCGAGACAGACAAAUACUCAACUUUUUAAAUUUUAAUAAAACACAUUUUUAUAUAUUAAUAGUAAAUUUUAAGAAUAAAAUUACUGUAGGGGUACCAGCAUAAUUUUAUUUAUGCGUACUUAUUAUAAAUAAAGCUUAUGACCUCGAUGUUGGAUUAAAUUAAACCUAUAGAUGAAUAAGUUUAUGAGGUAUGCCUGGNCGACGCUUAAAAACAAACA